AGGAGCGCUGAAAAAAAUUGUUUCUUAAGAUUCAUAGAGAUCUACAGACUCCUGGAGCCAAAUUCUACCUGACAAAUCUGUUGAUAUAUUAAGCGGACACAGUCGACAUUUGACAAAAAGCCUUUGCGGUCGCAGCUGAGUCUUAAUCACCUUGUAAUAGCCGAUCUCAUGAAUCAAAUGGCACACAUCGGGCAUCCUUGAAUGGGACCCCUUGUUCGCUCGCAUCCAAGUGAGUGGAAGGAUUCUGAAUUCUAUAUUUUA